CCAGAGAGACGAGAGGAGAUGGAGACUGAGUUAGUAAUCCGUCAAGCCCACGUGAUGAAGCAGCCAUAAAAAUCCCUAAAAGGCAAAAUGGGAGAACUUCUGGGUCAGUGAACGUGUCAUGUGUUGGAAAGGUGGCACGACCGAAGUCCAUGGGGACAGAAGCUCCCGUGCUCACGCCCUCUGGAGCUUGCCCUACAUGCAAGAUCUUCAUCUGGCUGUUCAUGUGUUUAUUCUAUCAAGUCCUUUGUCAUAAACUGGUAAAGACCAGUGGAACAUGGCCUCAUGCUGCCAGGGAAAGCCCAAGGUAAAGCUUUUCCUGUUGUCUCCCCUUAACUGAGAAGUGUCUAACUCAGCAAGCCAAGCUCAUGUAAAAACCAGUCAUUACAACUACUUCUUUAAACAAAUGUAGAUUUCCUCAGUACUGUGCAACCAAACAAAAAUGAAAAUUUAGGAUAAAGUGAUGCAGAGACUGAUUUUAGGCCAUUAGCAAGCAUCCACAGGCUUCCCAAUUUCCAUUUUUUUGUUAUUUGUUCAAACAAUUGUAUGUUUAUACUCUUAUUAUAAUAAGAAAAUCAAUACAUUCAGACACAUAAAGGCUUAUGAUGAGAACUGUGGCUUUUAUCUAAUUUUUAGGAGACGGAAUGACAUUUUUUUUCUCCCAUUACUGCUCUACAGGACAUGGCACUGGUUAUCAGAAAAGAAGGGAGAAAUCUAUUUUUAGUAAUAACAAUUCACCUGAGAGGAAGCGAUCUAAAAAAUUUGAAGGUUUGAAUUGUUGUACAGGUCCCUACUCAACACACCUACACUGUCACCAAGUUUAUAAUUAGAGAGAAUAUGAAAAUGAUGAGGCUGGGCAUGGUGGCUCACACCUGUAAUCCCAACACUUUGGGAGGCCAAGGUGGGAGGAUAGCUUGAGCCCAGGAGUUUGAGACCAGCCUGAGCAAUAUAGUGAGACCCUAUCUCUUCAAAAAAUAAAAAAUUAGCCUGGCAUAGUGGCACACAGCUGUAGUCCCAGCUACUUGGGAGGCUGAGGCAGGAGGGUCACUUAAGCCUAGGAGAUCAAGGCUGCAGUGAGCUAUGAUCGUGCCACUGCACUUCAGCCUGGGUGACAGAGUGAGACUUUGUCUCAAAAAGAAAAGAAAAUGGUGAACAUUCUAAAGGUGGGACCAAAGAAGAGAGGUGGACGAAGUUUAAAAAUGUCAAGAGAAGCCGGGCGCAGUGGCUCACGCCUGUAAUCCCAGCACUUUGGGAGACUGAGGUGGGUGGAUCACGAGGUCAGGAGGUCGAGACCAGCCUGGACAACACAAUGAAACCCCGUCUCUAGUAAAACUACAAAAAUUAGGCGGCCAUGGUGGCGGGCACCUGUAGUCCCAGCUACUCGGGAGGCUGAGGCAGGAGAAUGGCGUGAACCCGGGAGGCGGAGCUUGCAGUGAGCCGAGAUCGCGCCACUGCACUCCAGCCUGGGCGACAGAGCGAGACUCCAUCUCAAAAAAAAAAAAAGAAAAAAAAAAUGUCAAGAGAAGAAAAAGAGGGUUCCAAAUGUGAGAGCCAUGGUCACGUAAGAGGCUUUUGGAACCAAGGAUGAAUCCAUACCUAAAGUAAAAAUAUGUUCGAUUCAGUCUUCUGGAUUCAGCAUUGUGAUUGUAGCUUCUAACAUUGAGGGUUUGGUGAUGCACUGAACCACUCCUCUUUCUCUUCACUAAGCGCAUGGUAUUGGGGUUACAGAUAGACUGGAUUCUGUGUAAGACUUUGUUCAUUGAAAGGGUUUCACUGCUUAAAAACAAAUAAGACAGGCAGGUGCGGUGGCUCAUGCCUGUAAUCCCAGCAUUUUGGGAGGCUGAGCGGGGAGGAUCACCUGAGUUCAGGAGUUCGAGACAAGUCUGGCCAACAUGGUGAAACCCUAUCCCUACUAAAAAUACAAACAUUAGCCAGGUGUGUUGGCAUGUGCCUGUAAUCCUAGCUACUUGGGAGGCUAAGGCAGGAGAAUCUCUUGAACCCGGGAGAUGGAGGUUGCAGUGACCAGAGAUAGCACCACCGCAUUCCAAUCUGGGUGACAGAGCAAGACUCUGUCUCAAAAAAAAAAAAAAAGA
rnacentral:lncRNA from 10 species